GAGAUGGCAAGAAAUAAAGAAGCAGUCAGUGAUGGAGGCUGCAAGAGUUGUAACACUAACCAAAGGCUCUUUUUAGAGCCAUCGUUUUCCCUGGCAGGUGGUACAGCCAAGCAGACAGGCAAGUGGCCAUACUGCUGCUGCCUCAUGUGGGAUUCGGCAGGCUGGUGGGUUAUCAGUCCUCACGUGGGACCCUCCCACCAUGGCAGCUGAGCGCAUCCAAGCUGGGGGAUCCUGAAGAGACCUUCACCUGGGUGCCAUGUGGAAGAUUGGUCAGCACCAUUUUGACUCCUGUGGAUGGUUCCAGGUAAAGACAAUCCUUGCACAAGGCUUCCAACUCGACCCGUCUACUGACCUGGAGAAUGAAAGUGUCCUGCCUCUGGGCCCCUCAGAUCAACAUCUGCUCCUGCCCCAGCCUCAGCGACGCCUGUCUCUUUGGCCGCUGUGCUCACACCCAAACUGCACCUGGUCACCUGUCUACAUUCAGAUUUGGAUGAAACCCACACCAUGGAGGCAGCCAGAAGCCCAUGGGAGAUGUCUGGAUGCACAGAGGAAUAGCUCCAUGUGAUGCAAACCUUGACUAAUGGGAACAGGAAAAGGGAGGAAACCAGGAAGAUAAAUUUGCCUCCCUUCUCAUUGCCCCUUGCAACUCUUCCCACUUGAAGCAUGACCACAUUUAAUGAACAACCUGCUGUGUCUCUUGGAAGCUUGCUGCAAAGCAGCAAUCAGCACAAUAACAUUGUAUUGUAUCUUCCUCUGCUUCACUUCUCUUCCUCCCUCACCCUCACUGCCCUGAGCUGGCACAUCCCAAAGAAAGCACUACCACAUUAAUCCUUGUCUCAGACUCUGCUUUCAAGAGGAUCCAGAAUCUUGCUCUGUUGCCCUGGCUAGAGUGCAGUGAUAUAAUCAUAGCUCACUGAAACCUCGAACUCCUGGGCU
rnacentral:lncRNA from 1 species